rnacentral:rRNA from 1 species
CUGGCGGCGUGCCUAACACAUGCAAGUCGAGCGAGGAGAUUCCUCGGGAUGAUCCUAGCGGCGGACGGGUGAGUAACACGUGGGCAACCUGCCUCAUAGAGAGGAAUAGCCUUCCGAAAGGGAGAUUAAUACCUCAUAACAUUGCAGUUUCGCAUGGAACAGCAAUUAAAGGAGCAAUCCGCUAUGAGAUGGGCCCGCGGCGCAUUAGCUAGUUGGUGAGGUAACGGCUCACCAAGGCGACGAUGCGUAGCCGACCUGAGAGGGUGAUCGGCCACAUUGGGACUGAGACACGGCCCAGACUCCUACGGGAGGCAGCAGUGGGGAAUAUUGCACAAUGGGGGAAACCCUGAUGCAGCAACGCCGCGUGAGUGAUGACGGCCUUCGGGUUGUAAAGCUCUGUCUUCAGGGACGAUAAUGACGGUACCUGAGGAGGAAGCCACGGCUAACUACGUGCCAGCCGCCGC